AAUUUUACAAAUUUACAAAAUAAAUUUAAAUUUAUAAAAAUUCUGUGAACUGUUAUAUAAAAUAUAUUAUCUUCUUUUUAUAAAAUUUACCCACCAUCAAUCAAUUCAUCUUUAGAGCAUGAAAACAUAUUUUCUACUAAUAGUUCUUUCAUGGAGUAUCGUUUUUACAAUUCAGGAAAAUUGUCUCUCAUCAAUUAUUUCUAAGAUCGCCAUCCCAGAUAAGGAAAAGUUUGUAUUAUGUCAAAUAAUAUUUCGAUAUCAGGUAUUAGAUAUACCCAUUUUGGGACGGUUGUCCAGUGAAGAUUUACAAGAUAAUGUCAACAGUUUUAUGGAUAAUUCAUUUUAUGGAAGUCCAAGAAUGAAGAAAAACGUUAAGUAUCGUGUUUGGCUUAGAAACGAUGAUGAAUUCUCAAAAAAAACCAAUUAUCCAUUUCUAAGAUUUGGAAGAUAAUUAUUAUUCAAUGGUAACUAUUUAAGCUUCAUAUAUAAAAUUAUUUUAUGGAAUAUUUUAUACUAAAGGCAAAAUUUAUAUAUAAACAUAAACUUUUAUAUACAACUUUUUACAUUAUACAAAUUAAUUUUAUUUAACUUAUUA